AAAUAAUUAAGAGUGGACUAUGAGCCAGCGAGGGCCAGAGCUUCUUUAUUGUAUAAAAGCUGAAAGUUUCUCUGCGUAUUGUCCCCGACACAGGGAAGAACGAUCAACGACUAUGAACUUUCGAUCAUGAUGGCUUUGGAAGAUAACAGGUGACAAAGGUAUCUUAAGUCAAAGUAUAAUUUUUUUUAAUAUUUUCUAAAUAAUAUUAGAAAUGACGUCAUGCAUUUGCCAGACUCCUAAUGUCGGGCAAACCCCUUGCCAGACGCGCUUGAAAUUUUAUAAGCUGCUAAAGUUUGAUAGCUCGUUCACACAGGCUGCAUAAGCGUUGCGUAUGCGUAGACGUAGCGCGUACUAUGUAAUGUAUGGAACUGUAUGAAACCACCGCUUGCGUAAAGCGUGGACGUAUGCGUAACCCGCUGUUUUAGGGGUUUACGCGCGUCACUACGCACGUGUCACGUGUACGCAAUUGGUGUGUAACGGCCUUAAGGGUGUUUGGCAGGGGGUUGCCACGAUACUUUGUGUAAUGCAUAACGUGAUUUCUAUACUACUUCGAAGAAAAUAUAAAAAAUAGACAACACUUUGACGAAAGAUUUUUUAUACCUUUGUUACCUGUUAUCUCCCAAAGCCACCACGAUCUAAAGUUCAUAGUCGCUGAUCGUUCCUCCCUACGCAAUAGGACGAUACGCAGAGAAACUUUCAGCUUUCAUAAAAUAACGAAGGUCUGGCCCUCGCGGGCUCUUAGUCUAUAUUGUUCUCCGUGUAAUUGAAUGUUGCGUCUCCUAUGCCAAUACGAAAUCAUAUUGAUAUGAUUAAAAAUAAUAAUAAUAAGUAGAUAUUGUACUUGUAUAAUAUAUACAAAAAAGGAACUACCAGUGCAUGUACUUAGUAAAUAUGAAACUUAGGUUGCCUAAGACUAAAAAAGAUUGUUACAACAGGUAUUUUCUCAGUGAAUUGCCGUCUAGUACUUAGGUAUUUUAUCUAUUGUCAUUUUGGGUUCAAAUAUUAAUAAUAUGCUUUUGUUUGAAUACGGAUAUGAACAUAGUGAAGAAUAAUUUUAUUUACAUUGUAAUAAACACAUUACUUUGUACAUCGUAGCUAUUUGCUAUGUAAAAGAGCUAUAUAAUUAUUGUGAAUGAAACGAAAUAUUUUUAUGCAGUUGGGGCAACCCUACGAACAAAUAUGAAACCUACCUCAAAUAAAAGGUUUUAUUAGCAUUAUUUAACAUUAUUAGAGCAAAGUUAUUAAUUCAAGUACAAAAUUAAAGUAGGUAUUGAGCAAUUUAAGUGCCCAUAUAGUUACCUAAACCUUACACGCUUGCUUUUUUAUCAGUAUUUCAAGCGUAUAAAAAUGAAAUUGUUUUAUAUACAUAUAUAUGCACUAUCAGUAAUUCACUAUCAUAAACUAAGUUCAGCUCAUUCAUUUUUUUCUGUAUUUUAUUUAUCUCAAAAUUAAAACAAAUGACAAAUAACCUUUUCACUUAAUAAA